GGCAAGAUGGCCGAGCGGUCCAAGGCGCUAGCUUCAGGUGAAUUUCAUGUCAUCGUAAUUUGCUAGUCUCUUCGGGGGCGUGGGUUCGAAUCCCACUCUUGUCA
rfam:Neolentinus lepideus HHB14362 ss-1 unplaced genomic scaffold NEOLEscaffold_34, whole genome shotgun sequence.